UGAGGAAUAUUGGUCAAUGGCCGAGAGGCUGAACCAGCCAAGUCGCGUGAGGGAAGACGGCCCUACGGGUUGUAAACCUCUUUUGUCGGGGAGCAAAGCGAACCACGUGUGGUUCAUUGAGAGUACCCGAAGAAAAAGCAUCGGCUAACUCCGUGCC
rnacentral:rRNA from 1 species